rnacentral:rRNA from 1 species
AGAGUUUGAUCCUGGCUCAGGACGAACGCUGGCGGCGUGCUUAACACAUGCAAGUCGAACGGAAAGGCCCUUCGGGGUACUCGAGUGGCGAACGGGUGAGUAACACGUGGGUGAUCUGCCCUGCACUUUGGGAUAAGCCUGGGAAACUGGGUCUAAUACCGAAUAUGACCAUGCACUUCCUGGUGUGUGGUGGAAAGCUUUUGCGGUGUGGGAUGGGCCCGCGGCCUAUCAGCUUGUUGGUGGGGUAAUGGCCUACCAAGGCGACGACGGGUAGCCGGCCUGAGAGGGUGACCGGCCACACUGGGACUGAGAUACGGCCCAGACUCCUACGGGAGGCAGCAGUGGGGAAUAUUGCACAAUGGGCGAAAGCCUGAUGCAGCGACGCCGCGUGGGGGAUGACGGCCUUCGGGUUGUAAACCUCUUUCACCAUCGACGAAGGUCCGGGUUUUCUCGGGCUGACGGUAGGUGGAGAAGAAGCACCGGCCAACUACGUGCCAGCAGCCGCGGUAAUACGUAGGGUGCGAGCGUUGUCCGGAAUUACUGGGCGUAAAGAGCUCGUAGGUGGUUUGUCGCGUUGUUCGUGAAAUCUCACGGCUUAACUGUGAGCGUGCGGGCGAUACGGGCAGACUUGAGUACUGCAGGGGAGACUGGAAUUCCUGGUGUAGCGGUGGAAUGCGCAGAUAUCAGGAGGAACACCGGUGGCGAAGGCGGGUCUCUGGGCAGUAACUGACGCUGAGGAGCGAAAGCGUGGGGAGCGAACAGGAUUAGAUACCCUGGUAGUCC